rnacentral:rRNA from 1 species
UCGUCACGUGAGAGAAGGGGAGCUUGCUCCCGGAUGUUAGCGGCGGACGGGUGAGUAACACGUGGGUAACCUGCCUGUAAGACUGGGAUAACUCCGGGAAACCGGAGCUAAUACCGGAUAGUUCCUUGAACCGCAUGGUUCAAGGAUGAAAGACGGUUUCGGCUGUCACUUACAGAUGGACCCGCGGCGCAUUAGCUAGUUGGUGGGGUAAUGGCUCACCAAGGCGACGAUGCGUAGCCGACCUGAGAGGGUGAUCGGCCACACUGGGACUGAGACACGGCCCAGACUCCUACGGGAGGCAGCAGUAGGGAAUCUUCCGCAAUGGACGAAAGUCUGACGGAGCAACGCCGCGUGAGUGAUGAAGGUUUUCGGAUCGUAAAGCUCUGUUGUUAGGGAAGAACAAGUGCGAGAGUAACUGCUCGCACCUUGACGGUACCUAACCAGAAAGCCACGGCUAACUACGUGCCAGCAGCCGCGGUAAUACGUAGGUGGCAAGCGUUGUCCGGAAUUAUUGGGCGUAAAGGGCUCGCAGGCGGUUUCUUAAGUCUGAUGUGAAAGCCCCCGGCUCAACCGGGGAGGGUCAUUGGAAACUGGGAAACUUGAGUGCAGAAGAGGAGAGUGGAAUUUCCACGUGUAGCGGUGAAAUGCGUAGAGAUGUGGAGGAACACCCAGUGGCGAAGGCGACUCUCUGGUCUGUAACUGACGCUGAGGAGCGAAAGCGUGGGGAGCGAACAGGAUUAGAUACCCUGGUAGUCCACGCCGUAAACGAUGAGUGCUAAGUGUUAGGGGGUUUCCGCCCCUUAGUGCUGCAGCUAACGCAUUAAGCACUCCGCCUGGGGAGUACGGUCGCAAGACUGAAACUCAAAGGAAUUGACGGGGGCCCGCACAAGCGGUGGAGCAUGUGGUUUAAUUCGAAGCAACGCGAAGAACCUUACCAGGUCUUGACAUCCUCUGACAACCCUAGAGAUAGGGCUUUCCCUUCGGGGACAGAGUGACAGGUGGUGCAUGGUUGUCGUCAGCUCGUGUCGUGAGAUGUUGGGUUAAGUCCCGCAACGAGCGCAACCCUUGAUUUUAGUUGCCAGCAUUCAGUUGGGCACUUUAAGGUGACUGCCGGUGACAAACCGGAGGAAGGUGGGGAUGACGUCAAAUCAUCAUGCCCCUUAUGACCUGGGCUACACACGUGCUACAAUGGACAGAACAAAGGGCUGCAAGACCGCAAGGUUUAGCCAAUCCCAUAAAUCUGUUCUCAGUUCGGAUCGCAGUCUGCAACUCGACUGCGUGAAGCUGGAAUCGCUAGUAAUCGCGGAUCAGCAUGCCGCGGUGAAUACGUUCCCGGGCCUUGUACACACCGCCCGUCACACCACGAGAGUUUGCAACACCCGAAGUCGGUGAGGUAACCUUUAUGGAGCCAGCCGCCGAAGGUGGGGCAGAUGAUUGGGGGAAGU